rnacentral:misc_RNA from 1 species
AAGUCGUAACAAGGUUUCCGUAGGUGAACCUGCGGAAGGAUCAUCAUUGUAGGAGUGAGGUCCCUUUUUUUGAGGCCUUAACAACCUUUUUAGAGUCCCAGCAAACAGACAGCAAGGGGGAGCAAUUGGCUGAGACAGGAAGCGAGGGAAACAGGAAACAACUUUCAACAACGGAUCUCUUGGCUCUCA